rnacentral:rRNA from 1 species
UUAUUUAAAUAACGGAGAGUUUGAUCCUGGCUCAGAACGAACGCUGGCGGCGCGUUUUAAACAUGCAAG